AGCGAACGCUGGCGGCAGGCCUAACACAUGCAAGUCGAACGGACCCUUCGGGGUUAGUGGCGGACGGGUGAGGAACACGUGGGAACGUGCCUUUUGGUUCGGAACAACUCAGGGAAACUUGAGCUAAUACCGGAUGUGCCCUUCGGGGGAAAGAUUUAUCGCCAUUAGAGCGGCCCGCGUCUGAUUAGCUAGUUGGUGGGGUAAAGGCUCACCAAGGCGACGAUCAGUAGCUGGUCUGAGAGGAUGAUCAGCCACACUGGGACUGAGACACGGCCCAGACUCCUACGGGAGGCAGCAGUGGGGAAUCUUGCGCAAUGGGCGAAAGCCUGACGCAGCCAUGCCGCGUGAAUGAUGAAGGUCUUAGGAUUGUAAAAUUCUUUCACCGGGGACGAUAAUGACGGUACCCGGAGAAGAAGCCCCGGCUAACUUCGUGCCAGCCGCCGCAGUAAAAC
rnacentral:rRNA from 1 species